GCUGCUAACUUGAUUCUGAUUUACUGUAGAAUUUGGGGACAAUUUAUUCCUUUCAUCUAAGUUCCUAUUCUUAUUCUAUUUCACACUGCUGUUGGUGUCUUUCUUGCUGUUGGAGUAUAAUGGUUCAAUCUAUGAGAGGAGUAUCUAUACAGUGCCAUGGUUGUUAGUUUCCUGCAGUAGAAACCAUUCCCCAAAUAAAACACACUGACAGGUCUGUUGGAAUACUGGACCACAUCUGAUUGGCGCCAUUCACAAACUUGUUUCCCACUGUCUCGACUGAUGUCCAUCACCUGAAAGUCUGAUGGAGAAUGCCAUGUGGAGCUUAUCACUGCAUCAGACUCCAGUCUCCUAGAUGUAUACUGACCUACAACAACAUGAAGUAAACAAAGAGCUCUGACUUGGAGGUGGAAGCCUGCAGUCCAUGUCUGGUCAUCGAAUUAACUACUGCUAAAGUAUGGAUUUUCUCAAGCCUCUGCUUCCUUGUCCCUAUGAUCAAAGCAGUAGACUAGGUUGUUCCUACCUCUGGUACAUGGUCUAGAGCCUGAAACAUGGUCCAGCACUAGAUAAGAGACAACCUGCAUGGUGCUUAAAGGAAACACAGCCUGAAGCCCAGGAGAAAUCACUUGCCUCCACCUUCUUAAUUCACCAUGAAUGUGACCAGAGAGAAGCACGGUCUCUUGUUCUGAGGAAAGACAAGCCAGUAUUCAGCUCUGAGCAUCCCUAGGGCUUUCCUGGGAUGCUUGCCUUCGCAUUCAGACACCACUCAUGAUCACCUGGAGCCGUCUUCCCAGAAGCAGCAAAGUAAGGGCUUACACAUCGGAGGAAAAAUGCAGAGUAGGCAACAUUGAGGAGCAGUAGAGACACAAUGGAGGCAUGGUAGAGGCCCAUUGUUUCCUCUGGGAGGCGCACUCUGUAACAGUGCUGGAGUUAUAGGUAAAUCUGUUAUCUCAACGAACUUUCACAACCUUGUGAAAGAAAAGGGUAAGCAUGGCUGUUUAGAAACUAAGAAACGGAGUCAGAGAAAUUCUGAAUCUUAGAAGGCAAUCUGGAUGACUAUCCAGUACUUACAUGGUGAGGGCUGCAAGCCAGGCUCUCUGGCUCCAAAUGCUAUAUGCUUUGGCUACAUUUUGUUUCUUCUCCUUGUGUCCUCUGUUGGACCUGACAAAAUUCCUACAGGGAAAUAAGGGGAAGUGUAUGUGUUUCCAUAUUAUAAGGCAACAAGUCAAAGCUCAAGGAGACUUUUCAGUGUCCUGAUAACCAGCAGAGA